UCCGUUAUGGUGUAGUGGCUAACAUUAUCGCCUCUCAUUGGCCUAUGAUAGGCAAAGAUGAUUCGCGCGAUAGCCCAGGGUUCGAUUCCCUGUAACGGAA